rnacentral:sRNA from 12 species
UGACCACUUCCGACAAGAAGUUGAGGCCAACGGACAGCCGGGUCAAAUGCCGA